GUGUAUAAAUUUUUUGGGGAUUUGACCGGUCUCGAAAACCGGAGUAGGGGCAACUCUACCGGGGGUUCAAAUCCCCCUCUCUCCGCCA
rnacentral:tRNA from 1 species